rnacentral:rRNA from 1 species
UACGUAGGGGGCAAGCGUUAUCCGGAUUUACUGGGUGUAAAGGGAGCGUAGACGGUUGUAUAAGUCUGGAGUGAAAGCCCGGGGCCCAACCCCGGGACUGCUUUGGAAACUGUGUAACUUGAGUAUAGGAGGGGCAGGCGGAAUUCCUGGUGUAGCGGUGAAAUGCGUAGAUAUCAGGAGGAACACCGGCGGCGAAGGCGGCCUGCUGGACUGAAACUGACGUUGAGGCUCGAAAGCGUGGGGAGCAAACAGG